rnacentral:rRNA from 1 species
UGAUUUCGCGUGAUAUCAAUCACGUUCGAUCCGCUGAACGAAGCAGGUAGAAUAACGGUUUGUCCUUCCAAACCGAGGAUUUCUCGAAUGUCCGGAGCAUUGAUAAAACCAAUGGUAUGCGUGGACUGGAUAUAAAUACACCCAUAACUCGAAGCCUUCAUAGAUAUCGAGAAUGAAGUAUCGAUCAUGAUGUUGAGGAUGGCAAUGAUUUGACCGAUCGUAUAGUAUGAAGGAGGAAUCGUUAACUCCUCGUCAUUGGAGUUGGUGACCACAUUCGUAAAAUCCACAUUUUUGAACAUGACUUGAUUGGAUCUGAACAAGACAGUUAAGGAAGUGAUGUAAGGAUACUUGUACUUGUACGAAUUGAUCCACGAGAACGUGCCGUAACUAGAUGAGCCUUGGAUGAGCAUGGAGUAGUACAUCUGCUUUACCAUAAUAGUUAGGUAUUGACGUGGUUUUGCUUAAAACUUUGAUAUCUGCUGACAUGUGGCGUCAGGGACAGCAUGGAUUCCAUGGGGGCGCGGGCUAAGAGGCAGAUUAUUACUGCCGAUAAAGGGACGAUGGAAAAUAUAGCUACUUUGGCCGAAAAAGACACCCGAGAAAUAUCGCACAAUUUACGUCAAUUCAUUGCUACUUUUAUUCAUCUGCAAAAAUGUGACUAUUGCCUAUAACUGGAAUGAACCCUAUGCAAUUCAAUGGAUCCAAAGCACAUGACUGUAAUAACCACAAAGAGCAAAACAAAGAUAUAAUAGCUUAAUAUAAUUUAUCUGGUUAUUUAUGCAUCCAUUUCAAAGCCUUAACGGUUUAAUAUCAAGUAAAGUAAUAAAUAAUAUAUAGUAUCAGUGAUAGGAGAGUAGAUGAAAUAUAAAAUAAUGGUAAUAUGACGUAUUUUACACUUUGUAUUACUUAUUUUAACGUUGUGAUUUAUUACAAUCAAUUAUAAUUAUAUUUAUAAUUAUUACUUCUGUUAUAUAUAUAUGAUUAUUAUCUUUUUUUAUCACUGUAGCAUUUUGUAGAGAAUUGCCUCUAUAAGUGUAUUCAUGAAAGUAUUGAAAUAACUAACGAAAUUAGUGUGUUAACAAAAAAGGUCUAUCAAUGAAUUUAGUAUAAAGUAAUUCAUAAAGAAUAAUAAAUGUUACACAACUCUAGAUACUUUAAAAACAUUUGUUAGUUACAAAUGUUAAUAAAAUACUGUGUUAUUCAAUAUCGCUACCUUAUUAACAAUUGUUAUAAAACAAUAUUAUUAUAAAUAUUCCGUGGUUCUGAAGACACUUCAGCUAACAUUUUAUUUGAGUCUAUCAUAAAACUAGUUGUAGGAAACGAAUCAUUCUUUUACUAAAUGGAUAAUGUACAUAACCCAUAAUUACAUUAUAAUGUCGUAUAAAUGUGUAUGUGUAAACUUAUAUGGAAUGUCCAUUAGUGCAGAUCUUGGUGGAAGUAGCAAAUAUUCAAAUGAGAUCUUUGAAGACUGAAGUGGAGAAAGGUUCCAUAGGAAUCGUGUUGAACUAUGGGUUAGUCGGUCCUAAGAGAUAGGUGAAAUCCGUUGAAAAAGUUCUUUUGUAUUUUUAGAGCUGUGGAUCGAAAGGGAAUCAGGUUAAUAUUCCUGAACCAAUGAAAUGGAAUACGAAUGGUAACAGAGAAUAAUAUUAUGACAUCGGUUACUCUCCUGGGAAGAGUUUUCUUUUCUUGUUAACAAUAAUAAAAGCUUGGAAUGGAAUGAAUCCGCGAAAAGGUUUUGUUAUUGGUAAAGGAAUUCAAUAUUUUGAAUUCUCCGGUGCAGAGUAAUGGGUCCUUGAAAAGUAAUAUUAUUUCCCUCCCUUUGGGAAUACAUUUCAUUGUCCGUACUCAUAACCGCAUCAGAUCUCCAAGGUGAAUAGCCUCUAGUUAAUAGAAUAAUGUAGAUAAGGGAAGUCGGCAAAUUAGAUCCGUAACUUCGGGAUAAGGAUUGGCUCUGAGGGCUAGGUGUGAUUUUAUCAGCAAUGAUCGAAUCGUCAGUUCUUGGUUAUCAAAUGAAUGAGAUGAUUGAUGGAGUUGUUAAUUUCCCCCUGGGGAGGUGGACGGCCCUAUUAACUAUUUCUGCAAUUUGUGAACCUUGAAUUUGAAGCACAAUGAAUAGCUGACUCAGAACUGGUACGGACAAGGGGAAUCCGACUGUUUAAUUAAAACAAAGCAUUGUGAUAGUGUGAAAGAUAUAUUGACACAAUGUGAAUUCUGCCCAGUGCUCUGAAUGUCAAAGUGAAGGAAUUCAACCAAGCGCGGGUAAACGGCGGGAGUAACUAUGACUCUCUUAAGGUAGCCAAAUGCCUCGUCAUCUAAUUAGUGACGCGCAUGAAUGGAUUAAUGAGAUUCCCACUGUCCCUAUCUACUAUCUAGCGAAACCACAGCCAAGGGAAUGGGCUUGGAAAUAUCAGCGGGGAAAGAAGACCCUGUUGAGCUUGACUCUAGUCUGACAUUGUGAAAUGACUUAGAGGGUGUAGAAUAGGUGGGAGAUUUUACAAUUGUAGGGUCGAAGGUGAAAUACCACUACCUCUAAUGUUGUUUUACUUAUUCCAUAAUAUGGGGUGAUAACUCUCUGAGUUAUCUGAAUGCGUAAAUACUUUUAGUAAGUAUGACCCACGUGGGAGACAUUGUUAGGUAGGGAGUUCGGCUGGGGCGGCACAUCUGUUAAAGAAUAACACAGGUGUCCUAAGAUGAGCUCAGUAAGAACAGAAAUCUUACGUAGAAUAAAAGGGUAAAAGCUCAUUUGAUUUUGAUUUUCAGUAUGAAUACAAACUACGAAAAUAUGGCCUAUCGAUCCUUUAGAUAUUUGAAUUUAGAGUUUAAAGCUAGAGGUGUCAGAAAAGUUACCACAGGGAUAACUGGCUUGUGGCGGCCAAGCGUUCAUAGCGACGUCGCUUUUUGAUUCUUCGAUGUCGGCUCUUCCUACCAAUACCUUGCAGACUGGGUAAAAUGUGAGAUUGCUUAUCUCAAAAUAGAAAGAAAAUCCUUUGACCUGUCGCUUUGAGCUAUAAACUGUUUCACUUUUAACAGAUCGAUCAGGUUAUGUAAAAAAGCCACAGCUGUCAUUGUAUUUAAUAUCCUCUAAAAUGAGCUGGUUCCUUAUAUAAACACGAUAUUUUAUUCAUUUUUGCUCAUAUAAUCAAUUCUAUAAGAGUAAAUCAUAUUAUAGCUACAGUCGAAAAUAGGCUAAGUUUACUAUGUUUUUGCUUUUCUGUAAAAUAAACAAUGAUUCCUUCGACAAUAUAUCAUUCUUGUUGAACUUUCGACAGUUGCUCCCUCUUUGAAGCUAUAUGCUGUUUACAGAUGACUCGAAAAACAAGAAUAUUACAACAUGAAUUUUGAAUGUACUUAAUUUAGAAAUGCCUGAUUUAUAAAGAACUGA